rnacentral:rRNA from 1 species
UACGUAGGGUGCAAGCGUUAAUCGGAAUUACUGGGCGUAAAGCGUGCGCAGGCGGCUAUGCAAGACAGAUGUGAAAUCCCCGGGCUCAACCUGGGAACUGCAUUUGUGACUGCAUGGCUAGAGUACGGUAGAGGGGGAUGGAAUUCCGCGUGUAGCAGUGAAAUGCGUAGAUAUGCGGAGGAACACCGAUGGCGAAGGCAAUCCCCUGGACCUGUACUGACGCUCAUGCACGAAAGCGUGGGGAGCAAACAGA